UCACUGACACUCUCCUGAACAACGUAACUCCAAACUAAACCGCCAAUUCAUCACUGAGUCACUCUCCUUGUUGACUCGUUUCUUCUUCACUUCCACUUCCCGCCCACACAAAAUCAACUCAUUUGACAAUGGCGACUUUCCCUUCCGCUACUGCUGCUCCGAAUCGCUCCUUCCCCUCCAAGCAAACCUCCCCUGACUGCCUCCUCCUUCUCCGCCGCCGUAACCUCCGCCUAUCCCCGGCCACCGUCACACCA
rnacentral:lncRNA from 1 species